rnacentral:lncRNA from 1 species
ACAUGUAUACAUAUGUAACUAACCUGCACAAUGUGCACAUGUACCCUAAAACUUAAAGUAUAUAUAAAAAAAAAAGACAUCGCUAGUGAGCACGCUGUAUACGACAUCGCUAAUGAGGACGCUAUAUAUGACAUCGCUGAUGAGGACAUUGUAUACGACAUCACUAAUGAGGACACCAUACAAGGCAUCGCUAACGAUGACGCUGUACACAACAUCGCUAAUGAUGACACCGUAUAAGACAUCGCUAAUUAUGACGCUGUAUACGACAUUGCUAAUGACACCGUACAAGGCACGCUAACGAGGAUGCUGUACACGACAUCACUAAUGAGGACAGUGUACAAGCCAUCGCUAAUGAGGACACUGUAUAUGACAUCGCUAACGAGGACACUGUACAAGGCAUUGCUAACGAGGACACUGUACACAAUCGCUAAUGAGGACACCAUAUAAGACAUCACCAAUGAGGAUGCUGUAUAUGACAUCGCUAAUGACACCCACAAGGCAUGCUAACGAGGACGCUGUAGACGACAUUGCUUAUAAGGACACCGUACAAGACAUCGCUAACCAGGACGCUGUAUACGACAUCGCUAAUGAGGACGUUGUAUAUGACAUCGCUAAUGAGGAUGCUUUACAAGACAUAGAUAAUGAGGUUGCUGUAUAUGACAUCGCUAAUGAGGACAUUGUAUAUGACAUCGCUAAUGAGGACGCUCUAUACGACAUCACUAAUGAGGACACUGUAUACAACAUCACUAAUGAGGACGCUGUAUAUGGCAUCGCUAAUGAGGAUGCUGUAUACGAAUUCACUAAUAAGGACGCUGUAUAUGACAUUGCUAAUGAGGACACUGUACAAGACAUCUGUAAAAAAGAAGAUGCUGCCAAUGAGCCAUUGACAUUGGAG